CCCGGUGAAGUUUUAACGGCCGCAGUUAGGAGCUGUGCUAAGGUAGCGUAGUAAGUUGUCCUUUAAAUGGGGAAAGGAAUGAAUGGUUUGACGUAGGAAGUUCUGUCUCCGGUAGGAAAAAAAAACUUUUCUUCCUAGUGAAAAGCCUAGGAUGGGCAUAAAAGACGAGAAGACCCUUUCGAGCUUGAUUAAGCUGUUAAAUUUUUGAAAGCGGAAGUUUGGUUGGGGCAACCUAGGAGCAAGAUAAGACUCCUUUAAGAUUAUUGGGAUCCAAAAAUUUUGAAAAGAGAAAAAGCUACCGUAGGGAUAACAGCGUUAUCUUCCCUGAGAGAACAAAUUGAAGGGUGG
rnacentral:rRNA from 1 species